rnacentral:misc_RNA from 1 species
GCUUACUUAAAAACUAAUACAAUCCAAAGUCAUCAGGUACAUAGAAGCAAACAUAUUGGCAGAUGCAUCGUUUUCAGGCUUUCUUAACACAGAUGACUGCCUAUAAACAAGAGAGACUGGAUUUAGCAGGCAAGUAUGGAACCAGAAUCGGUGUUUGAGCUGCUGAUUCACUGAGUUUUGCCCUGAGAGGCUGCCUCUGCAUCCUUACUUCAUCAUCAGAUACAUGGGAAAGGCAAUAGAAGCAGCAACAGAUGGAUGAAAAGAACCUCAUUCUCUCUCUCUCUCUCUCUCUCUC